UACGUAGGGUCCGAGCGUUGUCCGGAAUUACUGGGCGUAAAGCGCGCGCAGGCGGCCCGCGAGGUGUCACGUGAAAGCCCCGGGCUCAACCCGGGAGGGUCGUGGCAAACCGGCGGGCUUGAGGCCGGUAGAGGUGGGUGGAACUCCUGGUGGAGUGGUGAAAUGCGUAGAGAUCAGGAAGAACACCCGUGGCGAAGGCGGCUCUCUGGGACGGUACUGACGCUGAGACGCGAAAGCGUGGGGAGCGAACAGG
rnacentral:rRNA from 1 species